rnacentral:lncRNA from 1 species
GGUCCUGUCCCAUCCCAUUGGGUCCUACAGAUCCCAUCCCAUCCCAUCAGGUCCUAUAGGUUCCAUUCCAUCAGGUCCUAUAGGGUCCUAUUCCAUCCCAUUGAGUCCUUUAGGGUUCCAUCCCAUCCCGUCGGGUCCUUUAGGGUCCUGUCCCAUUGGGUCCUAUCCCAUCCCAUUGAGUCCUAUAGGUCUCGUCCCAUUGGGUCCUAUAGGGUUCUGCCCCAUCCCAUUGGGUCCUAUAAGGUUCUGCCCCAUCCCAUCAGAUCCUAUAGGGUUCCAUCCUGUCCCAUCAAGUCCUAUAUAGGAUCCCAUCUUAUCCCAUUGUGUCCUUUAGGGUCCCAGCCCAUCAGGUCCUAUAGGGCUUUGUCCUGUCCUGCUGAGUCCUGCAGGGUUUCUUCCUGUCCCAUCAGGUCCUAUAGGUCCCAGCCCAUUGGGUCCUUUAGGGUCCUAUCCCAUCCCAUCGGGUCCUACAGGGUCCUAUCCGGUCCCAUUGCAUCCAAUCGGGCUCUGUCCCGUCCCAUCGGGUCCCACAGGUCCCGUCCCGUCCCGUCCCCACGCGGCCGCGCUGAGUCACGCCGGGACAGGCGGAAGCGGUCCCGGUGCCCGGGGCGGGGCGGGACAGCGCCCGGGACUGCGCGGGGCGGAGCGGAGCGAGGUGCGGGGGGAACCGGAGCCACAGAGCGGGCUGUGCCGGCACGGAGCGGGACCGGAGGCGGCGGUGGGGAGCGGGGCAGCGCGGGGCGGGGAGCGGGGCUGUCCUGGAGCGGGGUGCGGGGAGUUCCUGCCGUGGGAUUUGGGGCUCUCGUGGUGCGGGAUUUGGGUUUUUUUCAGCGCAGGGUUUGCAUUCUCCCAGGGCAGGGUUUGGGGUUUUCUCAGUGUGGCUUUGGGGUUCUCUCGGUGCAGGUUUCGGGGCUGUUCCCCUGCAGGAUUCAGGCUCACGGGGCAGGGUUUGGAGCUUUCCCAGUGCAGAUUUUGGGGCUCUCCUCAGGUGGGGUUUGGGCUCUGCCGGUGCAGGGUUCAGCCUGUCAUGGUGCAAGAUUUGGGCUCUCCCGUGCAGGGUUUUGGGCCCUCCCUGGUGCGGGGUUUGUGCUGUCCCAGUGCAGGAUUUGGGCUCUCCUGGUGCGGGGUUUGGCCUUUCUCAGUGCACGAUUCGGGGCUCUCUCAAUCUGGCUUUGGGGUUCUCCUGGUGCAGGGUUUGGAGCUCUCCCAGCACAGAUUUUGGGGGCUCUCCUGGUGUGGGAUUUGGGCUGUCCUGGCGCAGGGUUUAGGCUCUUCUGCCGCACACUUGGAGCUCUCCCAGUGCAGGAUUUGGGGUUUUCUCAGCGCGCUUUUGGGGUUCUCAUGCUGCAGGGUUUGGGGCUGCUCCGCUGCAGGAUUCAGAGUCCCGUGGUGCAGGGUUUGGAGCUCUCCCAGCGCCGAUUUUGGGGCUCUCCUGGCGCAGGGUUCAAGCUCUCCUGGCGCAUGGUUUGA